GUAUUUGAAUUGUUUAUUCAUAAUAGUUUUCAGACAGACAGUUAAAAAAUAAAGGUUGAUGUUUGGUCGAUCUCCAUGAAGAAGAUCGACUGACAUUGCACACAAGGUGGAUAUGGAUUUAAAAAGUGCCAUAAAACACUUAUUAUGAAUGAUCCUUCCGCAGGUUCACCUACGGAAA
rnacentral:misc_RNA from 1 species